GGGUCUAGCUGCCGGAGGCCUCCCACCGUUUUUGGCAAUGGUAGAACUCACACCGGUAAGGUAACGGGACCCGGUGGUUCUAGACUUGCCAACUAUGGUGUAAGUGCCGAGCUGCCGAAAGAGGG
rnacentral:pre_miRNA from 14 species